CCCUUAGAUGUUCUGGGCUGCACGCGCGCUACACUGAAGCUAUCAACACGUUUUCCCUCCCUGAGAAGGGCGGGUAACCUUUUGAAUCAGCUUCGUGGUAGGGAUCGGGGCUUGCAAUUGUUCCCCGUGAACCAGGAAUUCCUAGUAGACGCGAGUCUUAAGCUCGCAUCGAUUAAGUCCCUGCCCUUUGUACACACCGCCCGUCGCUACUACCGAUUGAACGUUUUAGUGAGGCAUUUGGACCGACGCAUCUCAGUUUAACCGCUGGUUUGUGUUGGAAAGACUUCCAAACUUGAGCGUUUAGAGGAAGUAAAAGUCGUAACA
rnacentral:rRNA from 1 species